rnacentral:rRNA from 1 species
GAUGAACGCUGGCGGCGUGCUUAACACAUGCAAGUCGAACGGAAAGGCCCUGCUUUUGUGGGGUGCUCGAGUGGCGAACGGGUGAGUAACACGUGAGUAACCUGCCCUUGAGUUUGGGAUAACUUCAAGAAACUGGGGCUACUACCGAAUAGGAGCUCCUGCAGCAUGGUGGGGGUUGGAAAGCAUCGGCGGAUGGGGAUAGACUGGCGGUUUAUCAGCUUGUGGGUGGGGUAGGGGCUAACCAAGGCAUAGACGGGUAGCCGGCCUGAGAGGGUAACCGGCCACAUUGCGACUGAGAUACGGCCCAGACUCGAACGGGAGGCAGCGGUGGAGAGUAUUACACAGCAGGCGGAAGCCUGAUGCGACGACGCCGCGUGCGGGAAGACGGCCUUCGUGUUGUAAAGCGCAGUCGCCUGAGACGAAGCGGGAGUGACGGUAAUUGGUAAAGAAGCACCGGCUAACUACGUG